AGCACCCACAACGACUGGCAAACCACAAGUGAAACAUAAGCACCAUAUAUACAUAGGGAAGAUUAGCUUAACGAGUUAACAAGGGGUCGUGGUAAAUGGGAAACACCUGGGGAGACUAAUCAACAUGAAAAACUACAAAUAUCUACAAAACAUGGUGCAAGACAGGAAACAACAAAAGAGUCUACAAACAUACAUGGCAUACAUGACACAAGCAACUUCUUCCGGGAGGUUUGUGUGUCUCUGGACUCUUCAGCAUAUCAGUGAUAAACAUUAAAACAUGCAAAGGCCUGUGAAACAGACUGAGAAUCUGGCUGAGGCAAAUGCAACAGAGCAGGACAAAAUCAAAGUCCAGUCUGUGCUAUUAUUCCAGCAGGCCUAUGCUAUUGGGAAGACACCGCCCUUCUCGACCCAGAAUGAGCCUUGGUCCUAUCCUCAUCAGAUCCAGUGCCUGAUGCGCUGCUGUGUCUGAUCUGUAAGGAUCUGCUGACUGAUGCUGUGAUGAUUCCCUGCUGCAGGAGCAGCUACUGUGAUGAAUGUAUCAGAACAUGUUUGCUGGAGUCUGAUGAACAUGUUUGUCCCACCUGCAGACACUCAGAUGUUUUUCUUUGACAACAAACACAGUUUUGCAACAAAAGGUGAAUCAUAUUAAGAAUGGAACCAAAUCUUUGUGCUUCUACACAAGUCCAAAUCACAGCCGUUGAUCCCGGUCACCUACGAUGUUCUGACAUAAAACCCGGAAGCUGUCUAUGUAACAUAAACUGUGUAGGAGACUGAUAGGGAAGAGAAGAAAUUGUUAAAUAAAGUCGUUAUUUUUGUUUUGUUUUGUGCACAAAAAGUAUUCUCGUCACUUCAUAACAUUAAGGUAGUACUGCACCACUGUAGUCACGUUGACUAUUUUAAUGAUGUCUUUACUACUUUUCUGGACCUUGAAUAUGGCAAUUACGUUACUUUCUAUGGGGCAUAAAUAACCUCUUGGAUUUCAUCAAAAAUAUCUUAAUUUGUGUUUCGAAGAUGAAUGAAGGUCUUACGGAUUUGGAUCGACAUGAGGGUGAGUAAUUAAUGACAGAAAUGUAAAUUUUGGGUGAAUUUAAGGGAUUUUCUGGAACGUCAAAAGUAAUUACUUCUAUUAGUCUAUUUUGUACUUUCUGCACAAGGGCGCCCUCUGGCUUCGAGUGUAAAUGAAACCUACAUUACAUGUUUAGCGCUCCACAUACUUGCUUACUUUGCAUCGUUUUGAAUAAGAAUAAAACAUCAAAUUAAAAUGUCAAAUCAAGAUUUAUUUGCAUUGGCACAUGAAAACCUAUGAAAAAAAGCAUGGGGGACGAAUUUACGUUUUACUUUGGAGCUCCGCGUAUCCAUGUGUUUGAGGAUAGCUGAGUGAGCAGAGCACAUGGUUUUGGGGUCACUUGUGUUUGGACCCAGAGCGAUGCGUUUGUGUGAAAAAAUAAAUAAAUAAAAAUCCAU